rnacentral:rRNA from 1 species
AUUGAACGCUGGCGGAAUGCUUUACACAUGCAAGUCGAACGGCAGCACGGACUUCGGUCUGGUGGCGAGUGGCGAACGGGUGAGUAAUGUAUCGGAACGUGCCCAGUGGAGGGGGAUAACGUAGUGAAAAUUACGCUAAUACCGCAUACGAUGCCUGGAUGAAAGCGGGGGAUCGUAAGACCUCGCGCGAUUCGAGCGGCCGAUAUCAGAUUAGGUAGUUGGUGGGGUAAAGGCCCACCAAGCCAACGAUCUGUAGCUGGUCUGAGAGGACGACCAGCUACACUGGAACUGAGUCACGGUCCAGACUCCUACGGGAGGCAGCAGUGGGGAAUUUUGGACAAUGGGCGAAAGCCUGAUCCAGCCAUUCCGCGUGCAGGAUGAAGGCCCUCGGGUUGUAAACUGCUUUUGUACAGAACGAAAAGGUUUCUACUAAUACUAGGAGCUCAUGACGGUACUGUAAGAAUAAGCACCGGCUAACUACGUGCCAGCAGCCGCCGUAA